rnacentral:rRNA from 1 species
CAGCAGUGGGGAAUAUUGCACAAUGGGCGCAAGCCUGAUGCAGCCAUGCCGCGUGUGUGAAGAAGGCUUUCGGGUUGUAAAGCACUUUCAGCGAGGAGGAAAGGGUAAAUCUUAAUAGGGUUUAUCUGUGACGUUACUCGCAGAAGAAGCACCGGCUAACUCCGUGCCAGCAGCCGCGGUAAUACGGAGGGUGCGAGCGUUAAUCGGAAUUACUGGGCGUAAAGCGCGCGUAGGCGGUUAAUUAAGUCAGAUGUGAAAUCCCAGGGCUCAACCUUGGAACUGCAUUUGAAACUGGUUAACUAGAGUUUUGUAGAGGGUGGUAGAAUUUCAGGUGUAGCGGUGAAAUGCGUAGAGAUCUGAAGGAAUACCAGUGGCGAAGGCGGCCACCUGGACAAAGACUGACGCUGAGGCGCGAAGGCGUGGGGAGCAAACGGGAUUAGAUACCCCGGUAGUCCACGCAGUAAACGAUGUCUAUUAGAAUUUUGUGGCUAUAUGCCGUGGGAUUCAAAGCUAACGCAUUAAAUAGACCGCCUGGGGAGUACGGCCGCAAGGUUAAACUCA